ensembl:lncRNA
AAAAAUACGAAAAUGUAUUACACUGCAAGUCUGGCAGACACUUCAGUAUGAAUGGUGGAGCUAGAGCGGACAAGUUUGUUUCAGCAAUUAAGAAAGCUAGUGAGAGGUGAGAGAAAGAUGGAAAGCGCUCAAGUGCGUUGCUGUGUGUUAGAGGAUGACUUUUGCACCGUACUGCAAAAGUCUGAAAGUGAAAGAAAAUGUGUCAGGUCAUAUUGGUGCAAAAGCGCGCCUCGCAAAUGUUGGCUGAAUUUAAAAAAGAAACAGAAGUGCAACGUUUGCGCCUGACCGCCAGUGAUGUGGGGGAAUGACUGAAUCACAGAGAAGUCACAUUGUUGUGUUCAUAAUGACAAGAAAGGCCGCUCUUGUGUAUAGCUGUGUUGUGAGUAGGAAAAUACAGAACCAAGAAAGAGACGGGAUCCAAAUGACUGAUGCAAAGUGAAACCCUACUGAAAGCCACAGGCGGGCAAAUCAGUCUAACCCAUGUUCAUGCUGAGACUUCUUUUCAACAGCAUCAUAAUUCAUUGAGGUCAAAACCAGAAGAAUUCAAAGAAUCCACCACACAUUCUCAUUGACUUUCUGAUGAAGAUGAGGAUGAGGAGAGACAAACUGGACUGUCCAUGAGGUCUGGGGUCAGCUUACUUACACAUCUUUUAGGUCUAAGACGCAGGAUUGAGAAACAGUUUCACCACAGGACUAUCAGACUGGUUUCCACCACAUUCACCCAUCCUGACAAGCGGUGGGGAAACCACCCCAGCAAAGCUCAUCUGUUGAGAUGUUGCUGAGGCACUUUGUGGUUAUGACCUCAUCAUCAUGAGAUGGAAAGGCUGGUGACUGCAGGCAGCUACAGAAGAGGUGGUGCUGUGUUGUGGUUUGCAGCUGCUGGUUCUUGGCAAAAUAAAUUGCACUGUGGAGAUGCCUCAGGGAAUUAUUUGCUCAAAGGUUGAAAGGAUGAACAAAAAAAGGAAUUCAAGAGGUAUUUGUGAUUCAGACUGUGUUUGUCUGUAGUUGUGACUUAGAUGUAUCUCAGAUCAAAUUUCGUAAUCGAUGGAGAAACUGUUUUUAAAAAAAUAUUUAUUUAUUAUUUUUAAUCAGAAAUAUCUUUUUACACCAGCGAUUAAGUUCCACAGUUUAAGGACUAACUGGUCUGGUUGACUGACACUGCUGAGUAACACUACAGUGUUUUAAAACCAUUAACAGGCUGCCAUUCAUGGGGUGAGUGGGCUUCAUGGCUAUUGUCACACAUUACAACCACGUAGUAAAAUUUUAAAAAGUUGUUAUUGCUGAGAACAUGUCAUUCAUCAGAAAUGUGCACACAUUUUACAUGAUAGGAACUGUUUUUUCCCCACUUCUCCUGAAAUAUACUACAUCAGGAAAAAAAAGGUUUUUACCCUAAAAUUCGCAUGUUUUGAGCAGGGUUUUGAAAAAUUUUCCACUAAUCCGUCCUGAGUCAUAGGUAUGACUUCAGCAAUGUUAGGGAACUUCUUUAGAUGGUGUUAAAGAGCUUAACAGGCGCCUCCUUGUUGGAAUGUAAUGACUCCGCUUCUGUUUGGAGAAACCCCAGAUCUAAAGAGCUCCUCUUUUCUGUGUUUUAAGAGAAAGACAUACUCCUCUCUUUUCUACUUUUUAAAUGUAUCCAUACUCUGGCAUUCAUAGGAAUUGGCAUUAACACGAGUGGAUAGAAACUACGUGAAAAAUGAGUCAUGCCUAGAAAACCCUGACCUUAGAAAAUGUUGAUAUACACUAAUUUAUGUGCUUUGGGGUCCUUAGGGACUAGAAAAGCGCUAUACAAAUGCAGGCCAUUUACCAUUUACCAUUUAUUCCCUUAACUAUAUAAAGAUUGGUGCCUGAAUUUUUUUUUCUGUAUGUGUAAGAUUUGUAACAUGUAACAUUUCCAUUCUACAACAUGCAGUGGGAAGACUACAUGUAGUCUUGUACCUACAAUCUUGAAUUUCAAGGCCUGAUGUGGAUGCUUGUCUCACCUACUUUUUCCCUGUACUUGUUUUGCUCUAACAUUACCAUUAAUUAAUAAACUAAUUAUCUAGCCUAUGGAAUUGAUACAUUUGGCUGUUAAUUAUUAAAAAAGAAGCAUACACUAUUCUUAUGGGCCAAUCAAUAAUCUAAAAGAAGCUUUGACAAAUCAACACUUUUAAUAGUCAAUUAAUAGUCAAUAUAUGACCCCACACCCCUGCACACACACACACACACACACACACACACACACACCACACACACACACACACACACACACACGCACACACACACACACAUAGAAAAAAAACAUGAAAACGUGACUUGGUUUAGUUUGACCGCUGUUACAUUGAGGCAGUGAUAUUUGAGUGCUGAGCAGGAAGCAGGUUCUCAUAGCCCUGUCUUUUUCCCCAUGUUGAAAAUGGUGGCACAGAAUGUAAGAUUGUAAUGUAUGAAGUACCAAGGAAAUUUUGCUAUGAAAUAAAAAAAUGUAAUAAAAUGCAGUUUUUCUUAAGAGUCAUGGAGUUUUCAGGUAUCAUGUUUAGGAAAUGCUUCAGUGAAGUGACACUUUUUAAAGCAAGUGGGUGAUUGAUCGGUGAACUGAGGAGUUUAAUGUGGCAUGGACAUUCAGGUUCAGGUGUAAUUUCUCGCACAAUAUGCCGAUCAGUAUGGUACAUACAAGAGAGUGGACAGGAAAAGAGCUCAGUUUGUUCAUAUGGGUAAUGCAGACGAAAAAAAUACAUUUGCAGUGUGUGUGUGUGUGUGUGUGUGUGUGUGUGUGUGUGUGUUUGUGUAUUGUAAAAGGAACCGUGUAAACUUAAAAGAGGGACAAAGACCAAAGAAGGAAGAGUGCAUGUGAAAAAGAGAAAGACAAAGUGGUGAGAGAGGGCGUAUAUCUUUAGCUGCCUAUAAAGCUCUGCGUGCUUCUCAUUUUAGGCAGAAGUGAAUCCUGGCUGUAAGAAAUGAUGACAAUACACUAAUAAAGCAUCUCAAACUGAGGAACUUGUCUGUUGUGUUUGUUGGUACACUUUAAGGAGCCACAGUUCACAUUUCAAUAAAAGAUGUUCACAUUCUGUACAUUUGGUUUAGUUCAUUCAGUUCACAUUCCUUUUUCAGUUUGUUUUAACUGGACUGGCAAGUAUAACUGGAAAGGAAAGAAUAACUGAGAUGUUUACUACAAAUUGGGUAUCUCUUUCCUGAUCUAUUAAAAUAUUUAUGAUGACAAAGCUUCAAAUGGAUAGGUGAAUAUCAGUGUUAUUCAGGGAGUGUUGCUUCCUCUUGGCUAGGACAUAGAGUGCAAUUGUUGAUAGCUUCAAAUGUAAACUGUGUUCUCACACUUUUAGAUGGACACUUUGGCUCCCAAAUAUAGACCUUUUUUUUUUUUACAGCAUUGGCACUUAGAUCAAUUGAACUACAAGUGACAUGAUUAUCUCAAUUCUUUUCCUGGACCAUGAACUGACUUGUGAAAAUAAACAAAUAAAGUGUUGUUUUUGUUUUUGUACAGAUUAUUUUACAGAUAGAUUGUGACGAUCAUUUUCGUUAUUAUUAUUAUUAGCUAUUUUUGUCAUCACCACCUCCUGUGCUGACUUUUAAAGUAUUUAAUAAAAACUAUAAAAAUGAGGUGGGACGUCGGACAUGCCAAAACAAUCACACAACAGUUUU